CAGAAAGAGGCUCCCACAGUGCAGCGGUGGGCUGAAGGGCUCCUCAAGUGCCACCAAAGUGGGAGCCCAGGCAGAGGAGGUGCCAAGAGCAAGUGAGGGCUGUGAGGACUGCCAGCAUGCUGUCGCCUCUCAAUACUGCAUUGUAUAGUUACAUUUGAAGUGAACAGAUGACUAAAAUUCCAGGGCUCGAAAGCACUUCAAACACAAGAGUAACCCAAGGGCCAGACCUAGUUCAAGGAGAAGAAAAACGGACUUUACCUCUUGAUGAGAGGAGCCUCAAAGUCACAUUGCAAAGGAGCAUCCAUACAGAGAUACGAAG